GGCCUUAUAUUCACGAAGUGAUAUCAGAUUGCAAAUCUGGAGGGGUAAUGAAUUAUUAUUAAGGCCU
rnacentral:tRNA from 1 species